GAUGAAGAACGUAGCGAAAUGCAAUACGUAAUGUGAAUUGCAGAAUUCAGUGAAUCAUCGAAUCUUUGAACGCAUAUUGCGCUCUCUGGUAUUCCGGAGAGCAUGCUUGUUUGAGUAUCAGUAAACACCUCAACUUCCAUAUCUUUUUUGAAAUGGGAGUUGGACUUGAGUGAUCCCAACGCUUUUCCUCACCGAAAAGUGGCGGGUUACUUGAAAUGCAGGUGCAGCUGGACUUUUCUCUGAGCUAUAAGCAUAUCUAUUUAGUCUGCCUAAAAAACAGAUUAUUACCUUUGCUGCAGCUAACAUAAAGGAGAUUAGUUCUUGUGCUGACUGAUGCAGGAUUCACAAAGACAGGCUUCGGCCGACUUUGUAAACUCGAUCUCAAAUCAAGUAAGACUACCCGCUGAACUUAAGCAUAUCAUAAGCGGAGGA
rnacentral:misc_RNA from 1 species